AUGUAUAUACCUAGGAGGCCGAAGAUGAAAGCCAAUUGGUGCUGGUGAAGGGCCAUGUUAGAUUGUAUUUGGAGAGACAUCAUCUCCAAACACAA